rnacentral:pre_miRNA from 11 species
CGCACUUCCAAGGAUGGCUGUGAAUUGGUUUAAUCUCAGCUGGCAACUGUGAGCAGUUUCCAAAUCCUCUCACAGUGGUUUCUGGGAUUAUGCUAAACACAGCAAUUUCAUGGCUUGCGUGG